rnacentral:rRNA from 1 species
AGUGAACGCUGGCGGUAUGCCUAACACAUGCAAGUCGAACGGCAGCACAGUAAGAUCUUGCUCUUACGGGUGGCGAGUGGCGGACGAGUGAGGAAUACAUCGGAAUCUACUUUUUCGGGGGGGAUAACGUAGGGAAACUUACGCUAAUACCGCAUACGACCUACGGGUGAAAGCAGUGGAUCUUCGGACCUUUCGCGAUUGAAUGAGCCGAUGUCGGAUUAGCUAGUUGGCGGGGUAAAGGCCCACCAAGGCGACGAUCCGUAGCUGGUCUGAGAGGAUGAUCAGCCACACUGGAACUGAGACACGGUCCAGACUCCUACGGGAGGCAGCAGUGGGGAAUAUUGGACAAUGGGCGAAAGCCUGAUCCAGCCACACCGCGUGGGUGAAGAAGGCCUUCGGGUUGUAAAGCCCUUUUGUUGGGAAAGAAAAGCAGCAGGUUAAUACCCCGCUGUUUUGACGGUACCCAAAGAAUAAGCACCGGCUAACUUCGUG